rnacentral:tRNA from 1 species
GGGCCCGUAGCUCAGCUUGGUAGAGCGUCGGACUCUUAAUCCGUAGGUCGAGGGUUCGAAUCCCUCCGGGCCCG